GCUCAAUUGGUUGAACGUCUGACUUCGGCUCGGGUCAAGGUCUUGAGGUUUGUGGGUUCAAGACCCACAUUGGGCU
rnacentral:tRNA from 1 species